UAAGGCCCCGUUUGGAUCAUUGGAAUUGAAUUCCAUCAUAAUAAUCAUAAUUUAGACACAAAUUAAUUAAGCUAAUAUAAUUGUAUGUGGAAUAUAGUUGUAUAUUAUAGUUGGUGAUAUGGGAGAGAUACUUAUAUGCUGCACUUCUACUAUAGAGAAGCGAGUCUAAGAGCGUGCUAUAAGAAUUGAAUUCCAUUCUAAUAACCAUAAUCUAUAGAAUCAAUUUCCAUCUCCC
rnacentral:lncRNA from 1 species